AUACGUCUUCGGGGCGGGGUGAAAUUCCCCACCGGCGGUAUGACCGGCAACGGUCGAGCCCGCGAGCGCCUGCCCAUUCUUUGGGCAGGGUCAGCAGAUCUUGGUGAAAUGCCAGAGCCGACGGUAUAGUCCGGAUGAAAGAAGAUGUGC
rnacentral:ncRNA from 2 species